rnacentral:tRNA from 1 species
GCUCGAUUAGCUCAGUUGGUUUAGAGCUUCGUACUUAUAUCAUGCGGCGGUCACCAGUUCGAUCCUGGUAUUGAGCA